UUUGAUCCUGGCUCAGAUUGAACGCUGGCGGCAGGCCUAACACAUGCAAGUCGAGCGGUAACAUUUCUAGCUUGCUAGAAGAUGACGAGCGGCGGACGGGUGAGUAAUGCUUGGGAACAUGCCUUGAGGUGGGGGACAACAGUUGGAAACGACUGCUAAUACCGCAUAAUGUCUACGGACCAAAGGGGGCUUCGGCUCUCGCCUUUAGAUUGGCCCAAGUGGGAUUAGCUAGUUGGUGAGGUAAUGGCUCACCAAGGCGACGAUCCCUAGCUGGUUUGAGAGGAUGAUCAGCCACACUGGGACUGAGACACGGCCCAGACUCCUACGGGAGGCAGCAGUGGGGAAUAUUGCACAAUGGGCGCAAGCCUGAUGCAGCCAUGCCGCGUGUGUGAAGAAGGCCUUCGGGUUGUAAAGCACUUUCAGUCAGGAGGAAAGGUUAGUAGUUAAUACC
rnacentral:rRNA from 14 species